UACAGAGGGGGCAAGCGUUAUUCGGAAUUAUUGGGCGUAAAGAGCGUGUAGGCGGCCAGGUAGGUCUGUUGUGAAAACUCGAGGCUCAACCUCGAGACGCCGGUGGAAACCGUAAAGCUAGAGUCCGGAAGAGGAGAGUGGAAUUCCUGGUGUAGCGGUGAAAUGCGCAGAUAUCAGGAAGAACACCCGUGGCGAAGGCGGCUCUCUGGGACGGUACUGACGCUGAGGUGCGAAAGCGUGGGGAGCAAACAGG
rnacentral:rRNA from 1 species